rnacentral:lncRNA from 1 species
ACUUUCUAGCGUCUCUCACUCUCUCAUAGUCAUACUUUCCAUAUUUUGAAAUUAUUACCCUAUUUCGUAAAGCUUCUUCCUAUUUUCAUUUCACUAAUAGAGCCAAGUCAAAUAACUCUAGAUCUUUAACUCCUAAACCCCCUUAUUUGUUUUUGGAAGACAUAGCUAAUACCACUUUAUGAUGAGGACAUAACCAAGGGCAAGGACCAUGAAGCACUUGAAGGGCCCAUGACCAGAGGCAGACUUAAACAAGUCUAACACGUCAUAGAGACAAGACUGGUCAUUUGUAUAGCUGUCAUUGAUGAUGAUUGAAGGUUCAAGUGGAGAAAGAUGAAGGCUCAGAGGUAGAGGCACUACUAAG